rnacentral:siRNA from 1 species
ACAUUAAAAUCCAGUGGCAGCCA